AUAAUUGAAGACCAAAUGCCUACAGUCCUCUACAUUUGACUUGGUCAUCACCGUGUAUAAUUAUAAAAUAUAAAAAGUUUUUCUUUUUGUUACUUCAAUACCCUUUAUAAAUAGACAUGAGAAGCGGUUGAAGUUCAUCACAAACUAAAACCAUCUCUACUUCUCUUUAUCCAACUACUGCUCCAAAAUAUGAAGACCUUCCUUAUUAUUUGUGUUUUCUGCUUCUUAUUCUCUGCUCUGCCUUUCUCUAUAGCUUUACAAGUUCAUCGAGUUGAACACAAUGGUGUUUCUAAAACAUUUGUGAUAAGUCCACAGCCAAACAAAGGUGCACUAAAUACGAGACGUUCAUGUGUGAACGGCAAAUAUACAGCAUGCACCAUGCCUAUACCACCACCUGGAAAAGGAUUUCCUAAUAGACGACGACCCAUAUGCCCUUGCCACCAUUGAUCUCAAUUAUCACCUUCUUUUAGAAAAAGAAAAUAUUUAUCUUUGUUUUUUUCUUAAUUCUAGUGUGUUUUGAAGGAGAUAGAUAUACGUUGAAUAAUGUCGUUUUAGUAGAUAGCAACUUUCCUUUCCUAGCGGGUGGGAUUAAGGUUUACAUAUCUUUUAUUUCAAUUCUAUUGUUUUAAGUGUAAUUAUUCAUAAUUAUUGACUUUGUUUGUUUUUAUUAUAAUAAAAGAUUUUGAUUGAGUUUAUAUUAUUAAA